GAUGAACGCUGGCGGCGUGCCUAAUACAUGCAAGUCGAACGCAGUGGCGAACGGGUGAGUAAUACAUAAGCAACCUACCCACGAAACUGGGAUAAUCUCUGGAAACGGGGACUAAUACCGGAUAGUGGAUGGGCUUAUGGCGCAUUAGUUAGUUGGUGAGGUAACGGCCCACCAAGACGAUGAUGCGUAGCCGGCCUGAGAGGGUGAACGGCCACAUUGGGACUGAGACACGGCCCAGACUCUACGGGAGGCAGCAGUAGGGAAUUUUCGGCAAUGGGGGCAACCCUGACCGAGCAACGCCGCGUGAGUGAAGACGGCCUUCGGGUUGUAAAGCUCUGUUGUAAGGCGGUACCUUACCAGAAAGCCACGGCUAACUACGUGCCAGCAGCCGCGGUAAUUC
rnacentral:rRNA from 1 species